ACACCGGUGGUGAAACGGUAUCAUGCUUGCCUUCCAUAAGGAUUUGCUCUCCCUGUAGCUCAGCAAGCGGCACGGGUUCGACUCCCGUCCGGUGUA